rnacentral:antisense_RNA from 1 species
GGCAAUCCCUACUCCCUGCCAAAGGAGAACCCAGUUACUGAACAUCGGAUGAGACCGUGGAUACUAAAUUGGGAGUGAAGGUCCAUACCUGGGUCUCAGAAGCACAGUACAGGUUUUUAGAACAAGCCACCUUAUACAAGUUAAAAUUCAUGAAGGAAUGGAUACAGGUUAAGUUACACCAGCCUCCUGAGUAUGACAGCAACAUUCCUUCAGGGAUUAAAGAAAAUGCUUCAGAAGAUUGGAACACUGCUCAGCCUUCCCAAACUUCUUUUACCACUGAUGUUUCUACCUUAGUGAUCUUCCUCCUUAUUUUAAUGCUUCUUUCUCUUUACAAUUAAAAGUUCAUAAAAUCUUUCAACAUUAUUUUUCACUACAAAAGUCUGAAGUUCUCUGUGAAAUGCCUACAUGUAAGAAUUAAGAUAGAUUUUAAAGACUGUCAGUCUCAAAAUUCCAUGCUCAUCAGUUAGUGCAUGAUAUUAAAUUAUGCUUUUUUCCUCCUUUUAAAUAUACCAACAUUAUAUUGCUGAUUUUUUUAUUUACCUGGGUAAGAGCACUGACUCGGUUCUCACUAGGAAACAAAGGUGGGUCUUCUCCAACUUGAAAAUCAAAAUAUACAGUUUUAUGUGUGAAAGUAGAAAAUUCAUUGCUGAAGCAAAAUUUGUAUGUCCCAUUUUUGGAGGCUGUGAAGGUAAAACUAUCAUACUGUUUCUUCAUCUCUUUGUAUAACACUUUACCAUCAGGAUCUUCUAAUCGACAAUCUACAUC